AUGAAUAGAACAUAUUCUAGAUAUCUUGCCAGGCAUCCACUCAAUUUCAUGUCUCUCUAAUUGGACAGCUUUUUUCCAUAGUUCUCUGCGAAUAGCAUCUUGUGGGAAUCUGAAUGGAAAGUAAUGUAAAAUGACAAUACCAAAUUUGAUCAUUAAUUUGAAAUAACUAGGUAGUUUUUUUAUAGCUCCAUCUCAUGAAAUAAAAAAGGAAAAUACAAAUCUGUAAGAAGGAAUUUAUUACUACAUUUAUAAUUAUAUAGAAAAUACCUAAACCAAACAUAAGUUAAUAAAACAGUCUACUUCAUUUGGCAUAAAACCAUCCCUAUUAUCCUCUCAAUUUAAAAAGUCGUAUGUUGUUAUGAAAGUCGUAUGCAGUUGUUACGUUUUAGCUUAGCACGGUAGUAUUGAAAAAAUAUCGUCAUGUUUAUUCCAAAUUUUACUGAAGUUAUCUGUUUACUACAAGUGAAAAGUGAUUCCACUGUCCUUGAUAUGAACUAAAAUAACUUCUGCACCACUUCACGACACAUGAAGACAUUUUUAAU